UGAUAAGAAGAGGACUUAAACCUCUG
rnacentral:tRNA from 1 species